GGUCUCCUAUGACUUCCAACCUGAGCAAGUCUCCGAAACUCUAUAAACAUAGGAAAAAUACCCAGAGUAAGCUUUGAAAGCUUAGUAAGCCAUAAGCAAAUAAAUCAUCUCAAUGAUAUUAUAAUUCAAUUUGACUAGGCCGAAUUUAGCAAAUUUCAACCACAUAUACAUUCAUCAUACUCGUAAAUUCUUAUGACCACAUUAAGUAACUUCACUUAUCUUAUUUAUCAAUGAACAUAUAAACCAUGCUUUCAAAUUCAACCAUUUCAAUCUCAUUUAUCAAUUCAAAAUUUAAAUUAACUACCAUACAUCAAAGUCAUAUUACACAUGCUUCAUAAUUCCACUGUUCAAACCAUAUAUACUCCUCAUUCAAAUAUAUAUCACAUUCGGUCAUACAAAACACAUGACCAACAAAUCAAAACAUGCUCAUUUAACUCUUU
rnacentral:lncRNA from 1 species